rnacentral:rRNA from 1 species
UACGUAGGGUGCGAGCGUUAAUCGGAAUUACUGGGCGUAAAGUGUGCGCAGGCGGCCGCGCAAGUCGAGUGUGAAAGCCCCGAGCUUAACUUGGGAAUUGCGCUCGAAACUACGUGGCUGGAGUGUGGCAGAGGAAGGUGGAAUUCCACGUGUAGCGGUGAAAUGCGUAGAGAUGUGGAGGAACACCAAUGGCGAAGGCAGCCUUCUGGGCCAACACUGACGCUCAUGCACGAAAGCGUGGGGAGCGAAACAGG